rnacentral:lncRNA from 1 species
ACCUAGGACCCAGCUGGGUCCCAUCCCUUUGGAGUAGCUGCUUCAGACUAGCCUAGGAAGCACCUAAUUCUUGUGGGCAAAGGAGCCAUGGAAGAUAGAGCUGGUGAGCAAGAGCAGGAGAGACACAGCCUUCGUCUGGAAAAGCUACAACACUGGGCAAGGCACAGGCAGAGUGGGCACCUCUUGGUGCUAGCGGUGAGCCAGCUAUGGCUGGCAGUGGUUGUGGUGCCCCUUGCUGUCUCAGUCGCCUGCCUGAACUCUGAUUGUCACAUGGCCACAGCGCUGCCUCUUGGGCCUGGAGCCUCAGGUCUCCUCACUGGGACUGUCACUCUGGAGCUUCGCAGAGCACCCCGCCUUUGGAAGGUGAGAGGGAAGAAAACGCAGCACUGUCCUCCCACUCCCUAAAACAGACACCUACAACCCUCAGCCUAGGAACAUGCUGGCUUGCUGGUGCUGGAACUCAGUGCUGAGGCCUUCACCCUAGGGGGAGUGCUGGUCUCAGUGCACGCCCUAUUCUUGCUGAGCCAGAGGAAACCAGGAUGCUGCAGGAGCCAGAGUCUGCACUAUCAAGAGCUGCAGGAGGGCUUCUCUGAGUUGGAAGAGGUUCCUGGUUUGGAGAAUGGUCCCACGGUGGCCAGCACAGGAGCAAAUGAGAGGGUGGGACAGCGGGAACAGACACGUGCUGCUCUCCUUCCACCCUGAGAGAAUGCUCUCCAGACAUUCCUGCAUCCCACCCCACCAAACUCAGAAGCUUGCUGGGAUCCUUCGAGUCCAAUAGGAAGUCCGGGAGUGCCUUCAGUUUUCACUCAAAGCAGGCCCUUUUUUCGUUCCUUCCCUGUUAGGGGAAGAUACACCUGGACGAGAAUAUAUCCUCACCUCACCACCCUGAAAAGCUGCUUUCUCCCUUGCAUCCAUAUCCUCUCUUCCUGUCACCUCCCCAUACAGCUUCACAUUUGCCUCAUCGCACUUUUCUUUUCUGUCCACCUUUCAUAAUCCCAUCCACUCCAAAUCCCGGACCCUGCACACGCCAACUCCCUGAAUCCAAUUCAGGAGUGCCCCAGUUCCCCUUUCGAUCCAUCUCCUUUCUACUGUAGCGGAGACUACAAGUCCCAGGAUGCCCCGCUAGCCCGUGACCGGCUAGGAAAUAAAGAGCCUUCUCUCCGCGGU